rnacentral:rRNA from 1 species
UCGAAUCCUGCCGAGCAGAACGACCCGAGAACUAGUUAC